UACGGAGGGGGCGAGCGUUAUUCGGAAUCAUUGGGCGUAAAGGGCGCGUAGGCGGCUUUGUAAGUCUUGGGUGAAAGCCCUCGGCUCAACCGAGGAAUUGCCUUGGAUACUGCGAAGCUCGAGGCUGGAAGAGGACAGUGGAAUUCCCGGUGUAGCGGUGAAAUGCGUAGAUAUCGGGAGGAAUACCGGUGGCGAAGGCGGCAUCCUGGACCGGCAUUGACGCUGAGGAGCGAAAGCCAGGGGAGCAAACGGG
rnacentral:rRNA from 1 species